rnacentral:rRNA from 1 species
CCUACGGGAGACAGCAGUGAGGAAUAUUGGUCAAUGGACGCAAGUCUGAACCAGCCAUGCCGCGUGCAGGAAGACGGCUCUAUGAGUUGUAAACUGCUUUUGUACGAGGGUAAACGCAGAUACGCGUAUCUGUCUGAAAGUAUCGUACGAAUAAGGAUCGGCUAACUCCGUGCCAGCAGCCGCGGUAAUACGGAGGAUUCAAGCGUUAUCCGGAUUUAUUGGGUUUAAAGGGUGCGUAGGCGGUCGGAUAAGUUAGAGGUGAAAUCCCGAGGCUCAACUUCGGAAUUGCCUCUGAUACUGUGCGGCUAGAGAGGAGUUGCGGUAGGCGGAAUGUAUGGUGUAGCGGUGAAAUGCUUAGAGAUCAUACAGAACACCGAUUGCGAAGGCAGCUUACCAAGCUACUUCUGACGUUGAGGCACGAAAGCGUGGGGAGCAAACAGGAUUAGAUACCCGAGUGUC